UCGUUCUUCUCUUCUUCCCUAAUUAUCGUUUCCGUUCUUCCGUAAAAUAAAGAAAGCGUAAUCGAAAUUGCUGAUUACUGUUGAGGAUUAAUGAUGUAAUUAAGAGUUUGAAUGGGUUAGGAAUUGGGUUCUGAAGUUCGAUUUCAAAGCAAGUUAGGAAAAGAUUUGGAAACAGCUGAAGAACUGCUGCGAAUUUGAUUUAGCUUGGAUUUCUUAUUUUAGCACAAUCAAAUUCGUCACAUCUUCUUCACUCUCUGGACGGCUUAAGGUGAAAUUGAAUUCAAGUCUUUCAAGGAAGAAAAGAAGUAGAAUUUUAGUCGGGUGAAGAAAAAGGGAUACAGACGAGGAAGUGUUGCCAAAGAAAGAAGAAUCGAGAAUUGGGAAAAUCAAAUUUAAGGCUUUUGAUUUGGAUGAACAUCAAAUCUCUCGUAGAGCAAAGAUUAUGAUUAUUACGCUAAGAUUAAAGCUGGAUGCAUGAACCCAACAAAUUGAGUAAAGAACGGUCAGGUGUUAAUUUCUUUAUUGAGAUGACCAAAAAGCAUCUCAUAAGAAACAAAAAGGACAAGUGACUCCACGGAAGAAAAAUCUUAAAACAGAUUAUGAUUUGACAUGUUUAAAUGUGAAUAAUACGUGAUUUAAGAAAGAACCAUGUCUAUCGCAUUGGAUGCGCGACAAGUGUUCUACCUGGAUGAUCAUAAAUUCGGAGCAGACUGGAAAGUGGUUCAAAAAAUGCAUCACAGACAUAUAUGAGACAUACGUGGGAUGUUCCUGAAAUGGGUGAUGAUGAUGAAGAAGAAGAUGUUUAUCAGCAAACUUGGGAUGUAACAGUAUCAUCACUCAUACAAGAAGAUAAUGUUGGAGUAGAUAAACUCCGUAGAGAUGAUGUGGAGGUAGAGUUGGUAGAUGCAGAGAUUGUACUUGCAGCUGAUAUUGAUGUGGAUGAUGUUCAUGUCGAGGAAGAAGAUGAGACAUUGAUUGAUUAUAAUGACUCGGAAGACGUGCCCGUUGACGAUGAUUCAGAUUUAGAGGAUUAGUUAUUUGCAUUUUAUUUACUUAAAAAUAGUUGUUUGGUUUGAUCAUUAUUUUGAUUAGAACAAUAGCUCAUAACACCGCUAUUUUGAGAAUAAUUAGUUUAAUCAUUUUUAAGUAAAUAAAAUGAUUCAGAGGUUCUAGCCGUACUUCCGAUGAUUCAGAGAUUGGUUAUUUUUGUUGUUUGGUUGGAUUUCAACGAUCUUCUAUAUGUCAGCUUUACUACGCA